GUGCACACACGCAGACGGACCGCUUCAUUCGCCAAAUUGCGGUUACUAUAUCGGUCUCCUUUCUCCGAGGUUCGACUUCGUACCGUCUCGACGAUGGGAAUUUAAUAAAUACCAGAUUUCCCUGCGGAGAAUGAAAAGAAAUUCUAUUUUAACCGUCGAGCUCUGUUCCAGAUCCAGUUAUGGAGGCCAUAAAUUACAGCGGAGUUGUUCGGAACAGCAUCGAGGGCUGCUUCUAUGAAGUUAAUUAACCGGAUCUGCAGAAAAAGAAUAGUCGUCUCUUACCAAGGAGCACAGUGCCACGCUUGUUUUCACUUAUGGAACAGUUUCAGCACGGAAUCACACAAGCUGGCGCACUAUCACGGCACGCAUUGAUCACUUUCCACGGACUUAAUCGUACCGCGAUUCGCUCCUCCGAUUUUUUCCCGAGCACUCCACUCGCGCACUUCUCUGGCACUCCGUUCCAAGAAUUCGCUCGUGCCGCAAUUAAUCCAUCGGAAAUGUCAAAGCGGUUCGGGAACGGCCGCCGCGAGUGAAUCGCGAGCGGAUAGGAGCGAGAUGCUUCCUCGAUCGGAUCGAGGGAUCGUUCAGCGAGCCGUAGCUGUGUCCGCCGGGAUUUGUGAUUUCACCGCGACUCCCGUGUUCGCUGCACUCUUCGAGUGUCUGCAGUAUUUAUAAAACGCCGACCGGAAAGCGCUACUGGUGAGCUGAUUUUGGCGCCGAGCCGGCUUGGCCGCGCGCUGACGCCUCGACGCGGACGUCGCCGUCGCGGACGGUCCUCGCCGGGACCGUGGAUCGCUAGGGGAUCGCGUGUUUCGCAUGUUUUCGAACGUGGAUCGACGCGGACCGCCUCGUCGGGCAGCCUCGCAUUUUUCCACGGAUCCGCGCGGCGGACGUGGCUCGUCUCGCGCGGCCCAGGGAAAUUUAUACGUCUGCGUCGCCGACGCGAUGAGCUUUCGGCGUGUUUUAUGGGAACGAUGAGUAAUUCGCGAGUUAUUUUCACUCGGGAAACCGGGGCUUGCGGAGAUAAUGGGGCCGGGACGAGUUCGCGAGGAAGAGACAAGCGAAACGAAUCUCUUAAUUGAACUUCUUCGCCGCUGUUUCGGCCGACAGUGAUUUAUUGUAAUUAGCGCGAUAUAAUAUCCGAUUUGCGGGCCUUGCCGCAUUUAUUUGGGAAAGUUAGGGUAAUCAGGUCUGACGAAGAGUAAUGGGAGAAGUUGGGUUCGGUACGCUGGAAAAAUUUCUGCUGAUUAUGGUAUCUUAGUCUUCCCGUCGCGGAACCGUUUCCAUGGGAAAUGAAUCUCACAGCGUCCGAUUAUGCAGAUAUGUUUCUCUGCGAAUGUCCGAUGCGCGGUGUACGUAGACGAUUUACACGUUCUAUAGCGUGGUAAUUGUGCACGCGUUUGUUGCAUUUCGGGUAUAGGGACUCUCAGCUCGGUGGGAGUGGUCUGACUCGCGGACACAUUUGGGCGAAUUGCGUGGCGUUCGUGGAAUUUGACUAGCCCAAUUUCGUGGAAUUUAUAGUCGCGCGAAUCGUCAUUGACUGCUAAAGUGAUUAUUUUUCGGAAUAAACGAUUCGAAACUUCUCUAUGAUUGUUCAGAGUCUAUCGCGUCACGGUUAUAUCGUCAUACGCAUUCGAUUGUCUGGUUAAUUGGUAGAAUAUCGAAUUAUUCAUUUGUCGGAGGGUCUCGUGUAUUGGUUAAAGAAUUAAUCAAAGCCCGACUCGCUGUUUAAAAUUCUCCCACGACUUAUUCAUCCGGUCCGCUACUGACCUCUGUCAGAACUUGGCAGAACUGCUUCGACGACUACGUAUAGUCUGAAAUACAGUCUUAUCAUACAUGCGCACGUUGCAUCAUGAAUAAAACCAUAGCCGAGGUAUAGGGAUAGAUUUAACAUCGCGGAGAAGGUGUAGGCAUAGAUUUAACAUGCAAUCGCAUGCGAAAUAUACGAAUAAAUGAAAUAUUUUAUGGGAUUUUGUGGCUUCGAAUUUAACUGUCGUACCUACGGAAUACUUGCCACUGAUUUUAGCGCCCUCUUUUCACGGACGACGGUCAGCUGAAACACUAUUCACUGAAGGAGACUGAAAAGGAAAAUGAAUGUAGUUUACGACAGAUCGAUUGCGAUUUGGAAAUAAUUAGGAAAGCAUACCAAAAAUACACGUAAGAGGAAGAAGAGAUCUUCAGAGAAGCCAUUCAAUGCAGUUUGCAAGAUUGGUAUCUGCAUAGAAGUCAACUGAGGGCAACGAAAACUGAGAAGAUGUUGAAUCUAUUUAUAUACCUUGUCUGUGUUAUCAUAUCACCCAGAAUUAUACCAGCGGAGUACAGAAUUCGCAAACUAUGCAAAAUUCCUUGAACCUCUGUCGAUAACCCUGUGAUUUUCUUCCGUCGUAUUUGAUGGUUCCUAUUUUAACUGAUUGUAAAAAACUCAACGAAUAUAAAAUAUACAGCAUAACAUUGUAAUUGUAUUAACAGUUAUACUACCCAUUGUUUCAGAUCCAAGAGAACUCCAAGACUUGUUCUCAUAUAAAUUUUCAAAUUAUGAGAAUCUAGAAUUCUAUUCAAGCAAUACAUUUCUCUUUAUAUACCUAAUAUAAAUCGAUACAAUUGUUGCAUCAUUUUUCGAAAAAGUACAUGUAAAACAACCAUGUCUGCUA